rnacentral:misc_RNA from 1 species
GUUAGAUUGUAGAUCAAGGGUAAGUCUAACCUUCAAUAAAAGAAUUUACAAAAAUAAACAGAUAAAUGAUUCAUGCAGCUAAAGCCACCUAAUAACUAUAUGAUAAUUGAUCAAAUUUUGUUUUUCUAGCCAAUAACGGCAUCCUUACCUCCUCCUAUCUACAAUGAUUAACAGAAGUGCAAAACUUCAUAAGUUGAGAAAUUAGGACUAAGGUCUGAUAUUGAUUACACCCCUUAAAUAUUCUUUUUACUAACUGAAAGGCUGGACAUAGUAUGCAUUAUACCAUUAAUGCUACUUCACCAAGAAAAUAUCCAACAAAAUUUAAACCAUG